UACGUAGGGGCAAGCGUUGUCCGGAUUCAUUGGGCGUAAAGAGCUCGUAGGCGGCUUGGCAAGUCGGGUGUGAAAACUCCAGGCUCAACCUGGAGACGCCACCCGAUACUGCCAUGGCUUGAGUCCGGUAGGGGACCACGGAAUUCCUGGUGUAGCGGUGAAAUGCGCAGAUAUCGGGAAGAACACCCGUGGCUAAGGCGGCUCUCUAGUACGGUACUGACGGCUGAGACGCGAAAAGCGUGGGGAGCGAACAGG
rnacentral:rRNA from 1 species